AGCGAACGCUGGCGGCAGGCUUAACACAUGCAAGUCGAGCGGAGAUGAGGUGCUUGCACCUUAUCUUAGCGGCGGACGGGUGAGUAAUGCUUAGGAAUCUGCCUAUUAGUGGGGGACAACAUUCCGAAAGGAAUGCUAAUACCGCAUACGCCCUACGGGGGAAAGCAGGGGAUCUUCGGACCUUGUGCUAAUAGAUGAGCCUAAGUCGGAUUAGCUAGUUGGUGGGGUAAAGGCCUACCAAGGCGACGAUCUGUAGCGGGACUGAGAGGAUGAUCCGCAACAGUGGGACUGGGACACGGCCCAGACUCCUACGGGAGGCAGCAGUGGGGAAUAUUGGGCAAUGGGCGGAAGCCUGAUCCAGCCAUGCCGCGUGUGUGAAGAAGGCCUUUUGGUUGUAAAGCACUUUAAGCGAGGAGGAGGCUACCUGGAUUAAUACUCUAGGAUAGUGGACGUUACUCGCAGAAUAAGCACCGGCUAACUCUGUGCCAGCCGCCGCAGUAAAAC
rnacentral:rRNA from 1 species